CCUUAAAUUUUCAUGGACGGUCAUAAUUCAUUUAAAUUGAAAGCAAAUUAGGGUUUAGAGGCACACAAGUCACUUGGAUAGGUUUAGGUGAAGAAAACUUAAUGACAGCAGGGCCAGCUAUUAUAUUGUUUGAGAUAAUUGAAGAUUUCACUCUUCCAGAGGAAAAAAUGAUGGAUUCCGUCAUACACGUGAUGGCGAUGACAUACUCCAAAUAUGACCAUUUACAUACCAUUAACAUCACUUGGUAGUGCUUCUGGUCGUUGGGGACGAUUUCAGCAAAUGACGGCAGUGCCCUGGAAUUCUCACUUAGAGCAUUUUGGUUAUCUGGCUAAAAACUUGGAAACAAAACUCAGGAAUAAAUCUCCUUGACAUGAUACCGUCUUAUGAUCACAAUCGGACAAGACCACAGUCCUUUAGGCGUCGUGUAGCAACCUCGCCAGCUCCUUACAGAGAAAUCAUAUGAAAGUCAAAACAGCCAUCUUGGAUGAUUGCAGCUUGCAUCUAAAACAGACUAAAGUCCAUUAUCUGGCUGACAAUCAGUGGAGGUUGUUAUUUGCAUUACUUGAACAUUUGAAUUUGGCAAGAAAUAAAAUUUAAAAUGUAUGACCGACUUGAGAGCUGUCAGCGAUUUUACGGUUUACGAAAAGAAGGAAAAUUGAUCUUUGAAGAGGGUAACGCACGCAUAUAAACUAACGUAAGUCUGGUCACUGAAGAUUUAUGCAAUUUCCGAAAACUUUGCUUUCAAAUGAACCACGAUCUGGGUCGCUAAUGCAAAUGGUUUUUAUUCGAGCUAAUAAAAGAGGAGAUACAUAUAUCCGUAGUUCUAUAUUUACGGAUAUAUGUAUCUCCUUUACGGGAAAUAAGAAAAAAAUUAAGAGUGAUUUAAUUUCAACCUAUCUACACAUUAUUUUCAGUUUGUGAAAUCUUCUUUUCCACUCAAUCAGUAUGAAUAUUAAUUCAGGUCAUUUCUGUUCAAUAUGAACUACCAUGAGAAACUUUCCUCCAUUUGUGUAAAUAGGUGUACUUAUAAUUCGGUAUAUUGGUUUCAUACCUAUUCACACUCCCUUGCUCUCUAGGUUCUAAUUUCUAUAUUAAUAGAUGCUCUUGUUUAUAUAUAAAAUGGAGAGGUUUUGACACUUUCCGUCUCUACUUAGAACUCCAUUGGAUACGCAUUACUUCAAUAUAAUUUGAAUACUUUAGCGCAUAGACAUGUGAUCAUGCUACGAUACUCUAUUCUAAUACGAUAUUAGAGCUAGGAUUUGGAUUACAUUUUAACAAUCCACCUGUCAUUAAAGCAUUCCCUGAAUUUCAAUCCGUCUGGCAAUGCUGUUUUUAAUUACAAGCCAUUCUAAGGUGGCAUGUCAGCGUACUUUGCAAGCUCGGUGCGCAACGGUUGCCGCAUUCUUUAACCCUCGGACAAAAAAUGCAUCCGAAUGAGGCUUUUUCAGCAACAAGCAAGCAAGAGGGUAAGAAGUGGUGUCCCUCCGAAUCCUCGGCACCGAAGCGAGUUCGUGAGGCAGAAAUCGACUAAAAAGGCGUCAGCGUUUUGAGAUGUUAGUGGAUUACAUCUGGGAAAACAAUAAAUUUACUGUAUUACUGUAACCUUUUGGACCAGAUGCACAUGAAAAUUCAUCAGAAAAGGCCUGGUUUGCCGAAGAAAAAAGUAGUUUUGCAUCAAGAUGCUCAAAAAGCAUACCUAAAAUCCUUAAAGUGCGAAUUGUUGCAACAUCCACCCAAUUCGCCAGAUUCAGUUCACCUUGACUUCUGGUUGUUCUCACUCCUCAAACAAUUCUUAGGUGGAUAUCGAUUUUCAUCAAAUGAAGAGAUGAUAGCUGCUGUAAACGGGUAAUUUGGAGAUCUUCCAGAAAACCACUACGGGAUCCUUAAAUUAGAGAAUCGCUUGAAUAAAUGUAUAGAAGUUAAGGGAGAU